rnacentral:siRNA from 1 species
AGAGUUUCAGAAUAUAGCUGG